rnacentral:rRNA from 1 species
CCUUCGGGGGACAGCAGUGAGGAAUAUUGGUCAAUGGACGAGAGUCUGAACCAGCCAAGCAGCGUGCAGGAUGACUGCUCUAUGGGUUGUAAACUUCUUUUAUAUGGGAAUAAAAUGUUCCACGUGUGGGAUUUUGUAUGUAUCAUAUGAAUAAGGAUCGGCUAACUCCGUGCCAGCAGCCGCGGUAAUACGGAGGAUCCGAGCGUUAUCCGGAUUUAUUGGGUUUACAGGGUGCGUAGGUGGUUGGAUAAGUCAGUUGUGAAAGUUUGCGGCUCAACCGUAACAUUGCAGUUGAAACUGGCAGUCUGGAGUACAGUAGCGGUGGGCGGAAUUCGUGGUGUAGCGGUGAAAUGCUUAGAUAUCACGAAGAACUCCGAGUGCGAAGGCAGCUCACUGGACUGCAACUGACACUGAGGCUCGAAAGUGUGGGUAUCAAACAGGAUUAGAUACCCCAGUAGUC